rnacentral:rRNA from 1 species
GAUGAACGCUAGCUACAGGCUUAACACAUGCAAGUCGCAGGACUGGCGCACGGGUGAGUAACGCGUAUCCAACCUGCCCAUAAGUAGGGCAUAACCCGCAGAAAUGCGGACUAAUCCCCUCUGCUUAUGGAUGGGGAUGGGUCCGAUUAGCUGGUUGGUGAGGUAACGGCCCACCAAGGCUUCGAUCGGUAGGGGUUCUGAGAGGCAGGCCGCCCACAUCGGAACUGAGACACGGUCCUAACUCCUACGGGAGGCAGCAGUGAGGAAUAUUGGUCAAUGGGCGAGAGCCUGAACCAGCCAAGUAGCGGGCAGAAAGACGGCCUUUGGGUUGAAAACUGCUUUUAUGCGGGGAUAGGUACCGCAUGAAUAAGGACCGGCUAAUUCCGUGCCAGCAGCCGCGGUAAUUC